rnacentral:rRNA from 1 species
GUCGAGGAUCUUCCGCAAUGGGCGAAAGCCUGACGGAGCGACACCGCGUGCAGGAUGAAGGCCUUCGGGUUGUAAACUGCUGUCACGCUAUAGGAAACCCUGAAUGUGAACAGCAUUCAGGCUGACUAAAGCGAGAGGAAGCACCGGCUAACUCUGUGCCAGCAGCCGCGGUAAUACAGAGGGUGCAAACGUUGCUCGGAAUCACUGGGCAUAAAGCGCACGUAGGCGGUCUACUAAGUCUGGUGUGAAAUCCCUCGGCUCAACCGGGGAACUGCAUUGGAUACUGGUAGGCUUGAGAGUUGUAGGGGUGGACGGAACUCCAGGUGGAGCGGUGAAAUGCGUAGAUAUCUGGAGGAACACCGGAGGCGAAAGCGGUCCACUGGGCAACUUCUGACGCUGAGGUGCGAAAGCUAGGGUAGCAAACGGGAUUAGAUACCCUAGUAGUCC